AAGUUAAAGCUUUGAAAAAGUUUUUUAUUUACAUUAAAAAGAAUAUUAUAGGAUAAUAUAGCUUGA
rnacentral:tRNA from 1 species